rnacentral:rRNA from 1 species
GACGAAGGGGGCAAGCGUUGUUCGGAAUUACUGGGCGUAAAGCGCGCGUAGGCGGAUCAGGAAGUUGGGGGUGAAAUCCCGGGGCUCAACCCCGGAAUGGCCUUCAAAACUCCUGGUCUUGAGUUCGAGAGAGGUGAGUGGAAUUCCGAGUGUAGAGGUGAAAUUCGUAGAUAUUCGGAGGAACACCAGUGGCGAAGGCGGCUCACUGGCUCGACACUGACGCUGAGGUGCGAAAGCGUGGGGAGCAAACAGG